rnacentral:rRNA from 1 species
UACGGAAGGGGGCAAGCGUUAAUCGGAAUUACUGGGCGUAAAGCGUGCGCAGGCGGUUUUGUAAGUCUGUCGUGAAAUCCCCGGGCUCAACCUGGGGAAUUGCGAUGGAGACUGCAAGGCUAGAAUCUGGCAGAGGGGGGGUAGAAUUCCACGUGGUAGCAGUGAAAUGCGGUAGAGAUGUGGAGGAAUACCGAUGGCGAAGGCAGCCCCCUGGGAUAACACUGACGCUCCAUGCACG